UUUAAUCAUAUGUUUUAUGUAUAGAAUAAUGAACCAUUUACUUGUUUAUAGCUAUAAUGUAUGAAAUAAUAAAAUGUUUAGUUAUAUAUGUUGAUAGUCAGUAAUUUACAAUAUUUCAGUGUUUGAAAUAUGAUAUAGUUUGUGGUAGGCUCACACAUCGAAACUGAAUACACACAAAUUGUACAAAAUACAUACCAUCUCUCUAUGUUUCUGUCUCCUAAUUUUCCUCUGAACAUUUCAAAUGGCAUAACCGUUGGAACUUUCUUCUCCACCCACAUGGAGCUUUCUCCUUCCGAUCUGGAAGCUUUAUGGAUCAGCCUUCAUGGCAAAGACCAUAACCAUUUCAUCCAACUCAACAUCGCUAGUUCCCCAAGAAGCCUUACCGCCAUUGAUGAACCCACCAUUAAUGAAAUCCCCCUCCAAGACAAUUGCCAAGAAUCGGGUACAAGGCUCAUUACUUACCGAAAGAGAAGGAAAGGAAGAAUAAAAGGAGAGAACAAAAGAACUCCUAACUUCAGUACUACUGACAAAGGGUGGAUAGACUUCAAGGCGCUUGCCAAGGGCUGGAGUUAUGACAUCGGGCCUCAAACCCUGUAUAAAAGCGAAAAGAAAAGGUCUUAUCUCAUCACUAUGCAUCAAAUCUCACCUAAGAGCAUUCAAGGAGGCUAUCAAGCAAUACUUAUACAACCUCUCACAAGCAUGUAUACCACUACAACCAAUACAACCCACUUUCCCAAAACAAAACCCGAGAGCAAACACAAAAGCAACAAACAAACGUACUCUAGAAUCAUGGACCGACUGCUAUCCCAAGCUCGUAACCUGCGCAUCAAUAUUGGCGGGAUUAUACCUUCCCUGGUUCCGUUGGCUAACAGAGGUGAGGAGGGUUCGUUCAUGUUGGUGGGAAAGAUGAUCACGUCCUGAAUCAUCACGACUAGCAAGAUGAAGGGGGCGACUCGGGUUCCCUGGACGGAGGCAUGGAAAGUGGAUAUUCGAAACGAAGGGGGAAACAUCUUCGUCUUCACGUUUUGGAAGCCUGAAUGGAGGGAUUUCAUCUGGGAUAGGAGACCCUAGGUCAUUGCAAACAUAUUCCUAAAUCUCCGCC
rnacentral:lncRNA from 1 species